UUUCUUCCAAUCGUCCUUUUUCUUUAUGGUAUGAGAGCCUCACGCCUCUUCUCUCUUUGCAUCAUUGAUUGAGGAGUAGAGAGGCACCAUCGACCUAGAGCCACGUAAAGGAAGGUCUCACCCAUGGCUUCUCCCCUUGCUCCCAUCGCAUCAAAUCAAAAGUUUCCUUGCCCAUCCACAUUGAAUGUGGCCAACUUCAUUUCCGUAAAGCUUUCUCAAACAAACUUCCUUUUAUGGAAAACACAAGUGUUUUGCCUUAUUGAAAGUCAAGACUUGCAAGGAUUCAUCAACGGAGAAGUCACUGCACCAGAUCAAUUCAUCAUCACUGGUAGCAAGCAAAAAACCAAUCCUACAAUGGAAGAUGUCAGAUCGACUCCUACGUGGAUGGAUCACAGAACAGGGAAUCAGGGCGAGUGAUUGCUGAAGGCCAACGGCUGGAUGAUCUUUAUGUUUUUGUGGCAGAAACAAAAGAGGCAUGCUUCUCCAAUCGUCAAAAGGUGGUUAGUCUUGAAAUAUGGCAUAGAAGAUUAGUUCAUGUUAAUUUUGGAAUUUUAAAGUUCUUGAAUAGACAAAACCAGAUCUAUUAUCUAUAGCUCACAUGUUACAGAAAGAAAUAUAUGCGUUGGUUGUGCUAUGCCAAAAUCUUCUCGUCUACCUUUCUUCUCUGUUGACAAUAGGGAUUCAUAACCUUUUGACAUGUUACAUUGUGAUUUAUGGGGGCCUU